CCAUUAGGCUUUUUAUUAGGGUUUCACGGCUUUCACCAUUAGACGUCAUUCACUCCCUCUAUCUCUCCUCUCCUCUCCUCUCCUCCCCGUCACUCUCAUUUUGAACUCAGUCCUCUUCUCCUCCAUCAAUCUUAGAGAAAAAAUGGUUAAAUUAGGGGUUUUGAUUUGUUUUAUAGAUCCAAGGGGUUAUUGACGUGUUGUUGUGGUUCGUUGCGAAGAGAUCUUGGUAUUAUUGACGUGUUGUUGUGGUUUGUUGCGAAUAGAUAUUCUAUACGUUAUCUUCAUGUGCUUUUGGUGAAGGAUCAGAAGGGUAUAUAUUUGAAUUUGAGAACUUCAGCGAUAGCGAUAUGUGUCGGGAUUUUGUGAGUGUUCCGGGUUUCAAAGUCAUAUUCGCGUUCGGAGGUCCAAGGUUCGAGGCACAAUGCACAAGCACCACUGCUGCCCUCUUGCUAUCACCUUAACCAUCACCACCCAUUUUCUUAACCUCCACCACACACACACCACUCAAGGCUCAAACCACACAUCUCCCCUGCUUCCAUCAGCCACGCAUCUCACCUUAACAACCCCAACGCCAACAGCAACUGCAACAACAAACGCAAUCCCCCUGCUACUAGCUCCACCACUGCUGCCCCUUUCACCAUACAGCAACAGCAGCGAACAGAACCACCAUCAUAACCUGCCACAAUCAACCCACGCAUCUACCACACCACCAAAACCGCAACAGCCGCAAUUAGCAGCCCCCAAACUCACCAACACCAACUCACACCACCUCCAAUAGCCACCGAAACCACCAUCUAUCUACACCAUCAACCACAUACCUCCACCAUUGCAGCCUUCACGCAAACCACCAAAACCCACACCAAUUAACCUUCUCCAAUCACCGCUGCUGCUUAAUCCACAUCGCACCACCACAAUCACACCGACACCACCCAACACCAGCAGCAACCCGCAACAAUUGCAGCACCUAACCAGAAAAACCGCAUCAAUCGAACCCGAAUCCGCAACAAUUGCAUUCCCCAAGCUACCCAGACCUUUGCGGCCGCGCAGCCCUGUCAGAAAGCGCACAAAAUGGAGUCCAAAAUCAUUUUUGAGGCAGAAGCUUUGCGCGUCUUCUGUGCGGGCGCACAAUUGUGGGUCAAUCACGAGCUUUUCACGUGAUUUUUAAUGAGAAUUGGACGGCCACGAUUUUGGAUGCUAGAUGACGAUGAUGCUGAUGAACGAUGAUGAUGGUUGCGUGAUGAUUGAUGAUGGAGUUUGGUGUGGCGUGAAGCAGGGGAUUACAUCCCAAGAUUGAAGCAGCCAAAAAAAUCGAAUAGGAGGAAGAUUGUGGGUCUGAUGGGAUUUGGGGGCUUUUGGGGUUUUAUUUUCUUUUCUUUUAAUUUCAUUUCUAUUUCCUUUUUCUUUUGUUUAUUUUAUUUUAUUUUCUAUUUUUAUUUC